GUGCUCGCUUCAGCAGCACAUAUGCUAUAAUUAGAACAAUACAGAGAUUAGCAUGGCCCCUUGUGCAAAAAAUGAAGCAUUUCAUUCUUUUUUUUUUUUUUUUUUU